CUGAACCCGGCACAGCUUCUGCAUCCAUUUCUUGACUGGCGCUCCAGACGGAUGGUGGGAUUGUAUUUGGCUAUAUAUUGGAUUACUACGUGGAACUGACAGACAUGGACAAACUGUACAUCGCCUUUCCAGGAGACGUCCUCAUGAGGAUGCUGCAGCUGGUGGCGGUUCCUCUCAUCGUGACCAGCGUCAUUUCAGGAGUGUCUGGCCUGAGUGUUCAUGUCUCCAGUCAUAUCACUCUGCGUGCGGCCGUGUACUUUGUCGGGACGACAAUCAUUGCUGUGAC